GGUUUUAAACAUAGAUUCUGCUAAAGUAGUUUGAGAAGUGCUUGGAAGCAGUUUAUAGUGUAGAUCCAGCAUGUUCCCUACAGUCUGUGUCCAUCUGGCUCUUAAGGUGGGUAGAAUGACCUGGGACAACUGGCUAUCCUUUGAACAGUGUUGGUAUCCCCUUGCCUCCCUCAACAAAAACGCCCCUGCAGUCUUCUUCCUCCUGCCAGAAUGGCUCUGUUAGGCAUUAUUCCUUUGUCUAUACCAGUUGUAUCAUCCCAGGUCCUUUUUUGUGAUAACAAAUGUUUUGGGGAGAGGCAAUAUUUUGCAAGAAUUAAUCUUGAAUGUCUUAGCAAGUUUCUGUACUGAUAGAAAGGAAUGGCAUUUUUAAGGCAGAAGGGAGAUUUUUUUUCUCAUAACUUUAUAAGUGCCCCCUUUGCAUUUGUCAUUCUUAGGUUGUUUCCCUCACCUCAUUCUAUUAAUGUCCUCGAUAUACAAUCAAGAAUCAUUACCUCAGAAGGAGAGAGAAAUAUAAAGAUUGUCAAAAGAGAAGAUGAAUGCAUGAGGGAUUAUAGAAAAGCAUAAUUAAUCAUUUUUGUUUGUGCUUGAGGCCAAUAAUGUCUUGAAACCCAUAUUUGAGAUAAUACAGAGAGAUUUUGUCAUGCUGAAAUCCACAAAACUUUAAUAUGAGAAUAAAGUGGCCUUUGGGUGUUUUAGUGUUGCAGGGGACUCUUGGGUCUCAGGGAAAUCUUUAUAGACUGUACUGGUGAAAUACCUCAUUCUUCCCCAGUGGCCUAAGUUAACCCCUGUACACAAAGGCAGCCCUAGGGAAGAGAUGAAGUAGGGAAGGGGAUUCCAUAUGGACUCUUUGUGAGUGUCCCUGGUUUGUCUACCAGAAACUUG
rnacentral:lncRNA from 1 species